UCCCGAUCACUGUGUCCAAUGAGUGUUAUUUUAGCCCUGUUUUACAGAUGGGGAAACCGAGGCAUACAGCAGUCAAAUCCUUUGCCCAAAGUCACACAGCUAGUGAAAGUCCAUGCCUGGAUUCCAGCCCCAGCCUGUGUGACCCCAGAUGAUGUGUGCCAUCUAUCCCCUUGGGUCUUUGCUGUCAAAUGUCAACGGGGACCUCAGCCAUGCCCACCUCGAUGGCACAGUGAGAUGGUGAAGGGUUCCGAAUGACAAAUUGUAAAAGCACAAGUCCUGAUGUUCUCUUCUCUGUGAGAGACUCCUAACUCUGCAAGCUCAUGACAGGCCCAGGCUGAGACCGUGGGGCCCAGCUGUCCCCGACACUGCCAGCUGCUUUAGUAGCUUUGGCCUGUUUUUCCCUCUUCGUACCAGGUGCCCUUUGCGCCUGCCCAUCCCGCAGAGCCUCGUCCUACAGGGGACCUUCGUGGCUGACAGGCAACACCAGCGCUAUUCCCUGGAGACAAGGGUUGUCCUGAACGGCCAAGAGGAAACCCUGCAGACUGUGGUCCUGGGCUAUCACGCUGGACAACCCUAUGUCUGUGCAUGUCUGAUGCAUCCAUACGAUGGCAAAGCCAUCCCCAGGAACACAGAGGGGUGCCUGGUUACUUGGAAUCAGCACAAGGUAAGAGUGGAGGCCCCAGAGACCUUUGCACCCCAGCCAGCCCUGGUUCAAGUUGCUGUCAUCUCUCAAUAGGAUUAGAAAUAUGUACUAUGGGCUGAGUGCAGUGGCUCACACCUGUACUCUUAGCCACUCAGGAGGCUGAGGUGGGAGGAUCUCGUAAGGCCAGGAGUUUGAGAGCCAUCUGGGCAACAUAUGGAAACCCUGUUUUCUACAAA